rnacentral:rRNA from 1 species
AUGCUGGCAUCGCUCGCCGCCCGUGCUACAACGCAGCACACGGGAGGAGGCUGGACCGCGUGCCAUUGGUGUUGCGUUGGAGCUUUUGUCGUGCCGCCGAAGUUGCAAUGGAGCGCCGCCGUGGCUGCAAUGAAUCCUUACCGGAGACGUCGUCGGUGCGGCGUCGAUGCUUUUUGUGUGCUUGGUGUUGCCAUGGCCAUGACUGCAAUGGAGCAGCACGCCGGUGCUCCCGGUGCUGCAUGCCGGAGCGCCACCCAGUGCUGCAAUGGAGCGCUGACAAUGAUCGAUGGCGGCUCUUGGAGCUGCGUUGUAGUGCUUCCAACGGCUUCGGUGCCGCGAGGUCGCAGGACAGAUGUGCCAGGGCGGAUGUUGUGUUGCUCUAGCGGAUGUUGCGUUGCUAUAGUGGAAUGA